rnacentral:rRNA from 1 species
UACGGGGGGAGCAAGCGUUGUUCGGAUUUACUGGGCGUAAAGGGCGCGUAGGCGGCCACCGCAAGUCGACUGUGAAAUCCCCGGGCUCAACCCGGGAACUGCGUCCGAGACUGGCAGGCUCGAAUCCGGGAGAGGGAUGUGGAAUUCCAGGUGUAGCGGUGAAAUGCGUAGAUAUCUGGAGGAACACCGGUGGCGAAGGCGGCAUCCUGGACCGGUAUUGACGCUGAGGCGCGAAAGCUAGGGGAGCAAACGGGG